AGAGUUUGAUCGUGGCUCAGAUUGAACGUUGGCGGCGUGCCUAACACAUGCAAGUCGAGCGGUAUAUACUUAAAUGCGAUUUCGGUCAAGUGAUGGUAUAGAGAGCGGCGGACGGGUGAGUAACGCGUAGGCAACCUGCCCCAUACAGAGGGAUAGCCUCGGGAAACCGGAUUAAAACCUCAUAAUGCGAGAUGUUCACAUGGACAUUUCGCCAAAGAUUUAUCGGUAUGGGAUGGGCCUGCGUCUGAUUAGCUAGUUGGUGGGGUAACGGCCUACCAAGGCAACGAUCAGUAGCCGACCUGAGAGGGUAAUCGGCCACAUUGGAACUGAGACACGGUCCAAACUCCUACGGGAGGCAGCAGUGGGGAAUAUUGGACAAUGGGCGCAAGCCUGAACCAGCCAUGCCGCGUGCAGGAUGACGGUCCUAUGGAUUGUAAACUGCUUUUGUACAGGAAGAAACACUGGUUCGUGAACCAGCUUGACGGUACUGUAAGAAUAAGGAUC
rnacentral:rRNA from 1 species